rnacentral:lncRNA from 1 species
GACCCAGUAGCCAGUGGGGCAAAUGGUUAGGUAAUUAGAGGGUUGUUGUUGAAGGCUGAGUAACUACCCAACAGCAGCCACCCUGUAAAUUAAACCACUCAGAGGACAGGCAGGACAGAGGUCAUCACCCUAAUUUGGUAGAUGAGAAAACUGAGGCACAGAGAAGCCGGAUGAGAUUGCAAAGUCGCAGCAACUGAAACAACUAAAUAUCGGUGUGAAAACUCGAAUGAAGAGGCCCACGACGCUGAAGACAAGGACGAAAAAGAGAAGUUUAACAAAAAACAAGAAGGACCCGAAAACGCUCUGGACCCCACAGACAGCACACCGAGAAAAUCCAGUUGGGAGGAAUAGAAAGAAGAUGGAGAAAGAAGAAAGAACCUGCUCUUCACCCUUUAGGUUUUUCGUUUUUUAGAAGCCCAAGGGAAUUUUAUCAACACUGAUUUCAUUCCAACUUCAUCACCCCAAAAGUGACAUCCACUGACAUCUGACUUUUCCCUUACAUUUUGCAGAUAUAUUUGACAGCAUUUCUUCUAGUUAAAAAAUUUGUUUUAAAUUAAUAAACUGAAAUGAAGGCAGAUUUUAUUUACAUAAAUAAUCCUGACAAAUCUUUUACCUCAUUUUUUUUUUUUUUGGCUUACUGUACCUUCAUUAAGACUUAUCACUUUCCACCAUUUGGUAAGCCUAUAUUUAUUAUUUUAUUGUAGCUCAAAAUAAGUUAAAAUGUCAAGUUUAAAAUAAUUUUGUGAAGAGAGAGAUGGAGGUCAAGCCUUUAAUGCUGCACUGUCCACUGUUAGUCACUAGCCACAUCUGGCUCCUGAGCACUUGAAAUAUGGCUAGUCUGAUUUGAGAUGUGCUACAGGUAUAAAAAAAAGUUACAUGUCUUACUAAUAAUUUUAUAC